rnacentral:ribozyme from 12 species
UUAAUUUCGAUAUUUUUUUGAAUUUUUUCUCAUUCACUUCAAACACAAAUGAAGUGAACAAGAGUUAGUAGUUGUAGCACUUCAGUGUAUUGAUGUGGUGAGCUCCUGAAAAAAAUUGGGAGGGA